CCCUGACAAGGAUGCAGAGCCUCUUGC
rnacentral:piRNA from 1 species